rnacentral:rRNA from 1 species
GGGNNUGCCCUAGUAACGGCGAGUGAAGCGGCAACAGCUCAAAUUUGAAAGCUGGCUCUCGGGCCCGCAUUGUAAUUUGCAGAGGAUGCUUCUGGCGACGCGCCUUCCGAGUUCCCUGGAACGGGACGCCAUAGAGGGUGAGAGCCCCGUCCGGUCGUGCGCCUAGCCUCUGUGAAGCUCCUUCGACGAGUCGAGUAGUUUGGGAAUGCUGCUCAAAAUGGGAGGUAUACGUCUUCUAAAGCUAAAUACCGGCCAGAGACCGAUAGCGCACAAGUAGAGUGAUCGAAAGAUGAAAAGCACUUUGAAAAGAGAGUUAAAAAGUACGUGAAAUUGUUGAAAGGGAAGCGCUCAUGACCAGACUUGGGCUGGCCCGAUCAUCCGGCGUUCUCGCCGGUGCACUCGGGCCGCCCAGGCCAGCAUCAGCUUUCGCCGGGGGAUAAAGGCGGCGGGAAUGUGGCUCCCUCGGGAGUGUUAUAGCCCGCCGUGCAAUACCCUGGUGGGGGCUGAGGUUCGCGCGUAUGCACGGAUGCUGGCGUAAUGGUUAUCAGCGACCCGUCUUGAAACACGGACCAAGGAGUCGUCUUCGUAUGCGAGUGUUCGGGUGUCAAACCCCUACGCGGAAUGAAAGUGAACGCUGGUGAGAGCUUCGGCGCAUCACCGACCGAUCCUGAUGUUCUCGGACGGAUUUGAGUAAGAGCAUACGGGGCCGGACCCGAAAGAAGGUGAACUAUGCCUGUAUAGGGUGAAGCCAGAGGAAACUCUGGUGGAGGCUCGCAGCGGUUCUGACGUGCAAAUCGAUCGUCAAAUAUGGGCAUGGGGGCGAAAGACUAAUCGAACCUUCUAG